CAGUCGCCGCGGUAAAACGAAGGGUGCAAGCGUUACUCGGAAUUACUGGGCGUAAAGCGUGCGUAGGUGGUGGUUUAAGUCCGUUGUGAAAGCCCUGGGCUCAACCUGGGAAUUGCAGUGGAUACUGGGUCACUAGAGUGUGGUAGAGGAUAGUGGAAUUUCCGGUGUAGCAGUGAAAUGCGUAGAGAUCGGAAGGAACAUCUGUGGCGAAGGCGACUAUCUGGGCCAACACUGACACUGAGGCACGAAAGCGUGGGGAGCAAACAGGAUUAGAUACCCCGGUAGUCCCUGUCUCUUAUAC
rnacentral:rRNA from 1 species